rnacentral:rRNA from 1 species
UUUUAACGGCCGCGGUAUUCUAACCGUGCAAAGGUAGCGUAAUCACUUGUCUCCUAAAUAGAGACCAGUAUGAAUGGCUAAAUGAGGACAAGACUGUCUCCUACACCCAAUCAGUGAAACUGAUCUCCCAGUCCAAAAGCUGGGAUAACCUCACAAGACGAGAAGACCCUGUGGAGCUUAAAACCGCCUACUAAUAAACACAAAGUAACUAGUACACGUUUUAAGUUGGGGCGACUUCGGAACAAAACAGAACUUCCGAGCACAGAACCACUAAUUCCAAGCCAAGGCUGACAAGCCGAGACAAAGAUAGACCCAGUCACACUGACCAACGAACCAAGUUACCCCAGGGAUAACAGCGCCAUCUUCUUCAAGAGUCCAUAUCGACAAGAAGGUUUACGACCUCGAUGUUGGAUCAGGGCACCCAAAUGGUGUAGCCGCUAUUAAAGGUUCGUUUGUUCAACGAUUAACAGCCCU